rnacentral:rRNA from 1 species
AUGUGGACCUGUCUUCGUCAGCGCUAUGAGCCCUCUGGUGAUGCCUUAUACCUUUCUGUGGUUCGUCAGGAGCAUGCUCUUCAGCAGGGUGACUCUACUGUUGAUGACUUUUAUGCACAGAGUUCUGCCAUCUGGCGCCAGCUUGAUUCUCUCCGCAGUGCUGGUUGUCGUACUUGCCCCUGCUGCCAGGCUGUCCAGGCCGAUUUGGAGUUUCAUCGUGUCUACGAGUUCCUGUCUCGGCUCCGUAAGGAGUUUGAGCCCCGGCGUGCUCAGUUGCUUGCUCGUGGCCGUAUUUCUCUCAUGGAGGCGCUUUCAGAGAUUCGUGCUGAGGAGACUCGCCUACGUGGUGCUGGUUUGCUGGAGGUUCCCUCUGUGCUCGCUACUCGGGUUUCUUCCACUCCACCUGCUGCACCGCCCCAUUCUCGCUCGAGUGCUCCGCCGCUCUUGCCCACUUCUUCUGGAGGCUCAGGUCGCCCCCGUUCACAUUGUGACUACUGCAACAAUGAUGGUCAUAUUGAGUCCCAGUGCUACACCAAGCGGAAACACCUGCGCAAGGCGCGAUCAUCAGGGACU